AUACGUAGGGGGCGAGCGCUGUCCGGAAUGAUUGGGCGUAAAGGGCGCGUAGGCGGCGCGGUAAGUCUGGAGUGAAAGUCCUGCUUUCAAGGUGGGAAUUGCUUUGGAUACUGCCGCGCUUGAGUGCAGGAGAGGUUAUCGGAAUUCCCGGUGUAGCGGUGAAAUGCGUAGAGAUCGGGAGGAACACCAGUGGCGAAGGCGGGUAACUGGACUGCAACUGACGCUGAGGCGCGAAAGUGUGGGGAGCAAACAGGAUUAGAUACCCUGGUAGUCCACACUGUAAACGAUGAAUGCUAGGUGUAAGAGGUAUCGACCCCUUUUGUGCCGGAGUCAAGACAAUAAGCAUUCCGCCUGGGGAGUACGGCCGCAAGGUUGAAACUCAAAUGAAUUGGCGGGG
rnacentral:rRNA from 1 species